GGGGUAUUGUGCUACACAUUUUUCUUGCCUCUGGCAGGACCUUUCAUUCCAUUCUGGAAAGUGAAAUGUUGGAGCAUUCUGAGUCACAGCUCUGGUGAAGGGUCCAUGGCAGCUGCCUCUAAAGAGUAGAGCCUUAGGCAUCUAGCAAACCCAUUCACCUGUUCCAAACCAUCCCUGCCAGAGCAGGGAUCAGUUAAUAAACUACCUGAAUUAAAGUCUUCCAGAGGUAGCUCCCAGGUUAGUAGUUUGCAUGCUUUAGGUCCUUGGUGAUUUCUAAGAAGUCUCCUGUGAUCCCUUUCUGGUUUACAUUUCCUUUAUUCUCUAUAGGAAAUAAAUUCAUUUGAGAGGAGUAAUAAGUGAACCUCUUGAAUGAUUAAAAUGCGUUGAAUUAAGGAAGAGUAUAUAUAAAACAGUAGUGGAGUUUAACCCUGGGGUGUUCUACCACUGAGCUACAUCCCCAGCCCUUUUUAUAUUUUGUUUUGAGACAGGGUCUAAUUAAGUUGACCAGGCUGGCUUCACACUUGUGAUCUUUCACCCCCACCCUCUCAAGUAGUUGGGAUUACAGGUAUGUGCUCCUGCACCCAGUUUUAUAUUUGUCUUUUAAGGCAGUAUUUCUCAAUUAAUGUGAGUAGAGUCACUUAGGGAUCUUGUUGAACUACAAACUCUGUUUCAGCAGGUCUGGGGAGGAGCUUGAUUCAGCCUUUUAAACAAGCCUAGGUGAUGCUGAUGUUCUGUCCCAAGGUCCACACUUUGAGUAGCAAAAUUAUAAAGCUCCAUAAAUUUCUGUUAAUAAGAAAAAAUAUACAGUUUUUUCUGCAUAUAUCAUUUUACCAUGUGUGAAAAUAAAUCCUGUCAUCGUUAUGUUAACAAUGGUAAUACUACAUUCUCUAUUCAUAAUGCCAAAUAUCUGAAUUAAACUUACCAAAAUUCUGUUAAACACUUAGAUGCUAUAACUAUACAAUGCUAACUUCCAGAUAUUUGGAGACAGUAGAAAUGAAUUUCUCUUUUUGUUUAGAUGUUUAUCAAUGUUCAGAUACUUUUAAUACUGAUAUGAGACUUUUG
rnacentral:lncRNA from 1 species